GACGUAGGGGGCAAGCGUUGUCCGGAAUCAUUGGGCGUAAAGCGCGUGUAGGCGGCUUGAUAAGUCCGGUGUGAAACCUUGGGGCUCAACCCCAAGCCUGCACCGGAUACUGUCUCGCUUGAGUUCGGGAGGGGAGAGCGGAAUUCCUAGUGUAGCGGUGUAAUGCGCAGAUAUUAGGAAGAACACCAAUGGCGAAGGCAGCUCUCUGGAACGAUACUGACGCUGAGACGCGAAAGCGUGGGGAGCGAACAGG
rnacentral:rRNA from 1 species